CGGGGGAGAAGCACCUGCUUGGAGCUCAGUGAGGCAAUGCACGUUGACCUUCCUGAGCCCUCUUCCUGCUUUAAGACCAUCUGGUGUGACAGAGACUUCUAAAUAACGUGUAUUGAAAUUGGUGAAAUGCUUCGAUUUGAUCCUUUGGCCUGAACCAUAAAAUUAUUUCCAUGGACUGUUUGCCUCAGUAUACCAUUAAGCAUUUAAGAGGUUGAAUAUCUUUUUUGCAAAGGACUGGAGUCAUUCCAGAAAUCACAGGAGGAAAACAACUGGUAAACUUCACAACCUACAACUUUCUUCUUUGCUUGAAGGUCUCUGGUGUUCAGCCAGUCUCCUAUGGUGCUUUGCCUUGAAAACACAUAGCGAG